ACUGCCGGCGACUGAAUGCCGAAAAUAGGGACUAUAUCCACCUGUAACCAUUUUUCGACUGCGGAACCAACAACCGCCCCGACGACAAGUCCUCCAACAGUUAUCAGUGUUGCUUUCCCUAGACUAAUGCUCUUUCUGGUCAAGAAAUAGAUUGAAGCGCCAAAGCCAGCAGCCAAGAUUAUCCCCGGAACAUCAGCUCCAGUGGAUAUCCCAGCUGAAGAUGUUGAGG
rnacentral:misc_RNA from 1 species